GAGGAAAAUUCAAUGUGCUCCAUUCGUCGAUUAAGUGUUCUUAUAGAAGUGUGGAAGUGCAAAAUUUCAUUAAUAUACUUCAUCAAUUUAAAAAUGGUAUUGCUUAACCUUUUCCAUAACCAGGCUUCUUGGAAAGCUCUUUCUUCAACAUUUCCGAUUCCUCUCGCAGCUUUGUGUGACUUUGACUAUUUGUGCUACUUUGAGGAUUGUUCAAGUCCAACUCAGUCACAGUCAUUGUAGAGUGUACAGAGUCGAGAUUAUUAUCAUCUUCGCUACUAGCACUCUCAAUGGCAACAGGUUGUGGUGACACUAUGUGAACAAGAAGUUGGACUCUUUCUUCGCAGCACAGGCUUUCGAUGUGUGAACAGAGUUGGUACUGCAUUUGGUCGAAGUUUGCCGGGGAUUUUAGGCUCGAAUUGAUUCGCUUCGAAGUGAACCUUAAGGAGCCGUACCACAAUAUCACAACACACAAAUGCAAAUUUGUUGUCAAUAUUUAUUAAAAAUUUUAAAAUUUA